AGAGUUUGAUCCUGGCUCAGGAUGAACGUUGGCGGUGUGCCUAAUACAUGCAAGUCGAACGGAGUUAAUAGCAAUAUUGACUUAGUGGCGAACGGGUGAGUAACGCGUUGGUGAUCUGCCUCGAAGUGUGGAAUAACGUUCCGAAAGGAUCGCUAAUACCGCAUGUGCUCUCGAUUUUUAGAAAGUUGAGAGUAAAGGAUUUAUUCGCUUCGAGAGGAGCCUGCGUCCCAUCAGCUGGUUGGUAGGGUAACGGCCUACCAAGGCUAUGACGGGUAGGGGACCUGAGAGGGUGGCCCCCCACAAUGGAACUGAAACACGGUCCAUACACCUACGGGUGGCAGCAGUAGGGAAUAUUAGAAAUGGACGAAAGUCUGAUCUAGCAACACCGCGUGUGCGAAGAAGGCCUUCGGGUCGUAAAGCGCUUUUUGGAAGGAAUAGGAAGGAAUGUACUUCCAGAAUAAGUCUCGGCUAACUACGUGCCAGCAGCCGCGGUAACACGUAGGAGGCAAACGUUAUCCGGAUUUACUGGGCGUAAAGCGCGUGUAGGUGGUACUGUAAGUAGGGCGUGAAAGCUCCCGGCUCAACUGGGAGAGGCCGUUCUAAACUGCAGAACUAGAGGAUGGUAGAGGGAGGUGGAAUUCCAGGUGUAGCGGUGGAAUGCGCAGAUAUCUGGAGGAACACCAGUGGCGAAGGCGGCCUCCUGGACCAUUCCUGACACUCAGACGCGAAAGCUAGGGUAGCAAACGGGAUUAGAGACCCCGGUAGUCCUAGCCCUAAACGAUGUAGACUAGGCGUCGGUGGUUUAAUCACCAUCGGUGUCCAAGCUAACGCGAUAAGUCUACCGCCUGGGGACUACGGCCGCAAGGUUAAAACUCAAAUGAAUUGACGG
rnacentral:rRNA from 1 species